rnacentral:ncRNA from 1 species
UUCCACUAGGGGAGCAUUUGCUGAGAGGCUGCCUGCAUGGCGGCCGACCCUUGGAACCUGUCGGGGUAAUACCUGCGUAGGGAAGUGG